GUUAAAAAGCUCGUAGUUGGAUUUCGGAGUGGGCCAGUUGGUCCGCCGCAAGGUGUGUUACUGACUGGUUUGCUCUUCUUCGCAAAGACUGCGUGUGCUCUUCAGUGAGUGUGCGUAGGAUUUACGACGUUUACUUUGAAAAAAUUAGGGUGUUCAAAGCAGGCUAUUGCUUGAAUACAUGAGCAUGGAAUAAUGGAAUAGGACUUUGGUCCCAUUUUGUUGGUUUCUAGGGCCGAAGUAAUGAUUAAGAGGGACAAUGGGGGCAUCCGUAUUUCGUUGUCAGAGGUGAAAUUCUUGGAUUUACGAAAGACGAACAACUGCGAAAGCACUUGCCAAGAGUGUUUUCAUUAAUCAAGAACGAAAGUUAGAGGAUCGAAGACGAUCAGAUACCGUCCCAGUUCUAACCAUAAACGAUGUCGACUAGGGAUCAGCGGGCGUUAUCGUACGACCCCGUUGGCACCUUACGGGAAACCAAAGUUUCUGGAUUCCGGGGGAAAGUAUGGUUGCAAAGCUGAAACUUAAAAGGAAUUGAC
rnacentral:rRNA from 1 species